rnacentral:tRNA from 1 species
AGAAGCGUGCCCGAAUCACAAGGGCUAUUUUGAUAAAAUAGACACAGAGACUAUAAUCUCUCGCUUCUUCGCUUCUUUAUUGCCUA